UGUCUGUGUUUUUGUUUUGUUGGUAUGU
rnacentral:sRNA from 1 species